UAAAAGAUGAAAGGAGGAGAAGAAGAGUAGAAAGGGGUAUCAUGAAAGAGUGGAAGGCUGAGAUCCUGAGACUGAGGGAGGCAGAGAGCCAGAGGGAGGCAGAGAGCCAGAGGGAGGCAGAGAGCCAGAGAGAGGCAGAGAGCCAGAGAGAGGCAGAGAGCCAGAGAGAGGCAGAGAGACAGAGAGAAGCAGAGAGACAGAGAGAAGCAGAGAGACAGAGAGAAGCAGAGAGACAGAGGGAGGCAGAGAGACAGAGAGAAGCAGAGAGACAGAGAGAAGCAGAGAGAGCCACAGAAGCAAUGGAGUACCAGAGAAAACUGCAGGAGAUCCACAGACUCAAACAACUGCUGGAUCUACUGAUGGUGGACCUACAACUGGCCCACGUAAGACAUGUCAUUGUUAUUAUUAAAAGGCAGUGUAUAUUUACCCAGCUGAAAAUGAAUAGUGGCAGACAGCGGUACGCUAACCCAAUGUUAACUUUUAUUCCUUUCCUUAACCCUUACCUUAACCUCACUGAAACUAUACCUAACCUUUACCUUAACCCAACCCUAGGUCCUGAACCUAACCUUCAUUUAUCUCAACCCCUAUGCCUUCCUUCUGCCGGUUGAAUAUCCACUUCCUUAUUAAUGUCAUCACUGUUGUUGUUGUUGAUAACUGUAUCUGUGCAGGUUGUAAAUAGUUGCUUAUUUCUACAAGCAUAAACAUCAGAGGCAACAUUGUUGUAACAUCACACAAAUUGUAACAGGAAUUUCUCAAACCCCUAACUGAAUGGGCAAGAAGGUUGUGUGUUUGUAUUUGUACACAUUUUGGACAUAAUUGAUUCCAUAAAAUGUCUCAUAAUUUUUUCAAACCAUGUCAAUACAUUAAUUGACAAUGAAUUGUCCAGAUGAAUUGAUCAACAUGACCCUGCUAUUGAUGUUGUCCAGUGUUUGAUUCAAUUACCUAGCUCUAGGUUGUAUUUCUGUGUAUCAUU
ensembl:lncRNA